rnacentral:rRNA from 1 species
UACGAAGGGGGCUAGCGCUGUUCGGAAUCACUGGGCGUAAAGCGCACGCAGACCGAUCGAUAAGUCGGGGGUGAAAGCCCGGGGCUCAACCUCGGAAUUGACUUCGAUUAUGUCGGUCUCGAGUCCGGGAGAGGUGAGUGGAAUUCCUAGUGUAGAGGUGAAAUUCGUAGAUAUUAGGAAGAACACCAGUGGCGAAGGCGGCUCACUGGCCCGGUACUGACGCUCAGGUGCGAAAGCGUGGGGAGCAAACAGG